rnacentral:tRNA from 1 species
CGCCCGCUUGGCUUAGUGGUACAGCGUCGCACUCGUAUACCAUUCUACGAAAUGCGAAGAUCCGCGGUUCGAUUCCGCGAGUGGGCA